CCGAUUUUAGCGAGCCUGACCAUCGGUCAUGGUUUCGCGAAAACUGUAUUUAAAACCCCACUCAUAUAAAAUGUAUCAUUAUUUGUACGUAAAUAAGUAAAGA
rnacentral:misc_RNA from 1 species